UACGUAGGUGGCAAGCGUUAUCCGGAUUUACUGGGCGUAAAGGGUGUGCAGGCGGGAUGACAAGUGGGGUUUGAAAUCUCCCAGCUUAACUGGGAUAGGUUAUGCCAGACUGUCAUUCUAGAGUGCGAGAGAGGGGCGUGGAAUUCCGGGUGUAGUGGUGAAAUGCGUAGAGAUCCGGAGGAACCCCAGAGGCGAAGGCGGCGCCCUGGCUCGCAACUGACGCUCAGACACGACAGCAUGGGGAGCGAACGGG
rnacentral:rRNA from 1 species